AUUGAACGCUGGCGGCAGGCCUAACACAUGCAAGUCGAACGGUAACAGAAAGCAGCUUGCUGCUUUGCUGACGAGUGGCGGACGGGUGAGUAAUGUCUGGGAAACUGCCUGAUGGAGGGGGAUAACUACUGGAAACGGUAGCUAAUACCGCAUAACGUCGCAAGACCAAAGAGGGGGACCUUCGGGCCUCUUGCCAUCGGAUGUACCCAGAUGGGAUUAGCUAGUAGGUGGGGUAACGGCUCACCUAGGCGACGAUCCCUAGCUGGUCUGAGAGGAUGACCAGCCACACUGGAACUGAGACACGGUCCAGACUCCUACGGGAGGCAGCAGUGGGGAAUAUUGCACAAUGGGCGCAAGCCUGAUGCAGCCAUGCCGCGUGUAUGAAGAAGGCCUUCGGGUUGUAAAGUACUUUCAGCGGGGAGGAAGGGAGUAAAGUUAAUACCUUUGCUCAUUGACGUUACCCGCAGAAGAAGCACCGGCUAACUCCGUG
rnacentral:rRNA from 1 species